rnacentral:lncRNA from 1 species
UGUGCCUGGUAAUCGCAUCUCAUAAUUUGUGGAGUGUACAUUUGAGUUUGUUCAGCUAGCUCUGCUGCUCCCAUUGGAACAAAGUACUGUUUACUCUGCUUAUCUACAUCCAGUCGAGACAGACGCUGAAGAUUGUUGGAAUAUUCAUUGCCACAUUUUUAAUUGCCAUUACUUAGCUCCUUUUAAGUUCACUUCUAAAGAUUUAAAUGGGUGCAGCGCUGGCCACUAAAAAUGUCACAGGGCAAAUUUCAUAAAUUGAUAAUGAACUCUACUAACAAUCCGGUGAUUGUACGACAAUAACAGCUAUUGAUUACCCACUGCUAUGUUUAACCACUCAAAUCUUUGGUCUGAGAUAUGCUGCAGAGACCGUGGAGAACCUUUUGACUAUUCCUCCAUUGUCUUGGCUUGAAGUUGACGACUAAAAAAUCUGAGUUUGUCAAGUCGGUGACGUGAAUUAGCGAAGUGCCAGGCGCACAGACAUGUAAGCGUUUGCUAUCAGAUUCUGUUUUCGCUUGUUUGUCCGCAACAGAUUAACAUGAAUGCUGAAUCUCUGAAACCGGCCCGAAAUCGACAUAUUUUGUAACUCAACAGAAUAGUUUAACAAUAAACAUGUAAGUCAAGAUUGUAACUUUUUCAUGUCUUCUAAUUCAGACCUAUUUUUUUAGUAAUUUGUGACAUCCGAUGAGAAAUAUGGAUUCAACUUUCAGUUUGUGUACCUUGGCCAGACGAUACUUGAUUGGAAUUUGUUCAUGACGAAUUGUUUGUUCAUGACGAAUUCUGCAUAGUAGCUGGCUGUUCGAGAAGAUCUUGCCACCGACACAUAGACCGACCCUUUUUGCAUUGAGGGUUGCUGGACGGCGAUGUCUUCAGGGGAUUACUCGAGUAAAAUUAAGGGGAAGUUUACCUAUCCCUUUUUUUUAGCAACGAGUAGGUCAGAUCCAAAAAGAAAUGAGAGAUGGAUCGAAGUCCUUCUGCAACUUGCACCCGUGUCACACCCGCACCGACCUUUCUCAGCAAUCGUUGACUCCUUCGCGAGCGAUAUGGGAGUCCCGUGAGCUCAGUGUGCAUUUCUGUACCUAAGAGCUUAGGUUUUGGCAAUCUGUGUGAGUACAAUCACUUUAUGGCCAGGGUUUUGCCAUGGAGCUCCCUUUGAUUGCGCCUAACUUUAGGAUCAUAUCAUUAUUUCUAGGCUUGGAAUAGGUUCAAGUGACGUGUUGGAGGAGAUGCAGCCGGCUAAAAACUUGAAAAAGUAGCAAAAUCUGGCAAUGUUUCGCAGGGGCAAAGUCAAGCUACCUUUCAGUGACCCAAGAUAGACUUGCAUGUCUGUGACAUUUCUCGUUUUGCUUGGCCCCUCCGUUCGCUUUCAGUGAGUGAAUCCAGGCUUUGGAGGUUCAAGGGAUAACCAUAAUCAUAGUGAUACCUCUCCUCAGGGUUAUCAGUUCCAGAAGGAGCAAACCUGAACUCCAGAGUGUACUAGCGUGAGCAUCGAUGACUAGCCCACAAUUUCGCGGAGACCGAAGUUUGACGAAGCAUGCACUAGACUGUUAACGAAAACAAUAUAUUCUGCAACUGGGAACAGUAACAGUCCAUCAGCACACUGAACAUUGGGUGGAGAGUACGUGGCCUACUAGUCUUCUGCAGCCAAUGCGUCAACAUAAACCAGAGAGCUGGUCUAACUCGAAAAUUGAGCUAUUAGAUAAAUCUCUGCCAGUAUGCACGUUGAUAUCCUGGCACUAUCAAAACAACUUACACACUAACUGUUUGUACGCCAUUGCAUGAGUUGGGGUAACCGUGGUCAAUAAUGGGUAGACCUCGGCAUUUUAGCUCGUCACACAUUUACGCAUGCUGGUCACGCAGAUCGUAUGUCCAAGAAAUCUGCAUUUACUUCAAUGCACUUUCAGUAUUCGUCGGAAGCGAUCAGCAAAGUUCAAGUCGAGAGAAGCGAUUCUCCAUAAAUGACAACUUCGUAACAAUCUCGAUCACUGUAUGCUAUCAGAUUAUCAGCCCUUUGAUAUGAGGUUCCGAAACUGAGGCGCACUUUUGGGAACAGAUUGCAUAGGUGAGCAACCGGGUGAACACUGGAGAUGUUGUGGUAGUCUUGGCGUAAGCUUCAAGUAUUGGCCAUUGGAGAGGUAAGCCUGAAUAAGAAUCAUUUCUUUUGUCAAUCAAGCAUUAUCAAAGUAAUUGAAGGUUGAGUUGAGAAAACAGUGUGACGUUUAUGAUUUCAAAGCCAAACGUAACCACCCUUCGAUCUUGUCAUCUCCCGCUCCAUGGAACAAAGCGUGCCUCACAACAAACAUAUAAAACAAAUUUGUGGAAUAAUUCUUGAUCCCUGUUUCCCAAUGUGAAUGAGAUUUGUCGCUCAAUAACUAGCUACUCAGUGUAUUAUCGGUUUGAUACAUCUUUGCCGGCACUGGAAUCCACGGAUAUACCCAACUCAUGUUUUUUUGUCUCUUCAGAGCAAUCGUAUCGCCUCUAAACUUAGAUGGCGAGAUGGCUUCGGGGGCUGAUGUCGGCUUCAAGAUAAACAUUCGUGAGACCCCCCUUGAAAUUUGUCGAUUAAUUAUUGUCGAAUUGUAAAAUGCACAAACUGGUACUUCUGUGCAACCUUCUUAGACUGAUGGCAGACCGUCCUUUCUGCCUAGAAGUGUGUACCCAUCGCCUGCUAAGCGGAUCCAUCCUGAUCUCAGUAUUUCCUGCAAGGAUUUUCUCAAUCACCGCACAGCAGUCAUUACAACGAGGUAAUCGGUUUGCCUUUUACCACACUGUGUCCAACACAGAGUGUCGACCUGAUCAGUGGAGCAUUGACAGGUAAGGAGGACAGAGACUCGAGGUGGGCAGAGACGGGUUAUUUUGUGAGAUACGGCUGAAGCACCAGUGUACCUGUCAAUGCUCGAUUGCCCAUGCACACUGGUGCUCGAACGUUGCACUUCGAGAAAAAUGUAGUAUUUGAAAGCCGAUUAUAGUACAAUACACUAUCAGUUCAAAGCGAAUAAGUGGCGCAAGGCUUCGGCUGAGGGGAGGAUUUGUAACUUAGGGGUCAAGCGUCACAUGACAUACCCGAUGUGGGGAAUAACGCUAUUUGAGAGUUGGCAAAAAAACUGAUUGUAAAGUCCAAAAACAACUCGACCGACGUUUUGGGUGAUCUACAAUGUACCUCAUGCUUCUUGUCCUGACGAGGGUAUUGACCUUUGGCGUCCUAUUGUCGAAUACGUUGGAAAUAAACAGUUAGUUCUCCG